UGGAAGGAUGGCCGAGUGGUUUAAGGCAACGGUCUUGAAAACCGUCGACUGUAACAGGUCCUAGAGUUCGAAUCUCUAUCCUUCCGCCAA
rnacentral:tRNA from 8 species